UUUUCGGUAGUCUAAAGGCUUAGGACGCUCGCACGGAAUGCAAGAGAUCCGGGUUCGACUCCCGGCCGAGGCA
rnacentral:tRNA from 1 species